UACAGAGGUCUCGAGCGUUGUUCGGAUUCAUUGGGCGUAAAGGGCGCGUAGGCGGCGGGGUAAGUCUGGUGUGAAAUCUCGGAGCUCAACUCCGAAAUUGCACUGGAUACUGCUCUGCUAGAGGGCUGGAGAGGAGAUCGAAAUUCACGGUGUAGCAGUGAAAUGCGUAGAUAUCGUGAGGAAGACCAGUGGCGAAGGCGGAUCUCUGGACAGCUCCUGACGCUGAGGCGCGAAGGCUAGGGGAGCAAACGGG
rnacentral:rRNA from 1 species